UACGAAGGGUUCGAGCGUUGUCCGGAUUUAUUGGGUUUAAAGGGUGCGUAGGUGGUCUAAUAAGUCAGUGGUGAAAGCCCGCAGCUUAACUGCGGAACUGCCAUUGAUACUGUUAGUCUUGAGUACAGUUGAGGUGGGCGGAAUGUGUCAUGUAGCGGUGAAAUGCUUAGAUAUGACGCAGAACACCGAUUGCGAAGGCAGCUCACUAAGCUGUAACUGACACUGAGGCACGAAAGUGUGGGUAGCAAACAGG
rnacentral:rRNA from 1 species